AGUGGCAGUUACGUAAAUAUAUUGAAACCUUCAAUAUUUCCCCAGCUAUACCGAACGGAUCAAUUUUCCCCAACCUUUUCUUGGUUUUCCCCUUCACAGCUUCACUUCUCCUCAUAAUAUUUUACGAACAGAAGCAAAGCCUCUCGCUUGCUCGCUCUCUCGUCGUUGCGAGCAUUUUUUCCUAAGGAUUAUCAGUCGAAGCUCUAUUAUCUGAUCUCUUCAGUAUCAAAAUUGUCUGGAUCUGUAGGGCUUGUGGUUCUCGAUCUCUGAUUGCCUGAGCAAUUCUUCGAUUAGGGAUCUCUUCUCGUUGUUUCAGCCGCAAUAAUGCCUCUCAGACUCGAAAUCAAGAGAAAACUUGCACAAAGAUCAGAGAGAGUAAAAUCCGUGGAUCUACAUCCAACAGAACCAUGGAUUCUCGCAAGCCUUUAUUCGGGAUCUGUAUGCGUCUGGAACUACCAGUCCCAGAUUAUGGUAAAAUCUUUUGAGGUCACCGAGUUGCCAGUUCGAUCAGCAAAAUUUAUAGCACGCAAGCAAUGGAUUGUUGUUGGAGCUGAUGACAUGUUCAUACGUGUUUACAAUUACAAUACGAUGGACAAGGUCAGAGUGUUCGAAGCACACACAGAUUACAUCAGGUGUGUGGCAGUCCAUCCAACGCUUCCAUAUGUGUUGUCAUCAUCUGAUGACAUGCUUAUAAAACUCUGGGAUUGGGAGAAGGGCUGGAUGUGCACUCAAAUUUUUGAGGGCCAUUCUCACUAUGUGAUGCAAGUGACAUUCAAUCCAAAAGACACCAACACUUUUGCUAGUGCCUCCCUUGAUCGGACUAUAAAGAUUUGGAAUCUUGGCUCCCCUGACCCAAAUUUUACAUUGGAUGCCCAUGUGAAAGGGGUAAAUUGCGUUGAUUACUUUACUGGUGGUGACAAGCCAUAUCUGAUCACUGGUUCUGAUGAUCAUACUGCUAAGGUGUGGGACUACCAAACCAAAAGUUGUGUCCAAACGCUAGAAGGUCAUACACACAAUGUUUCUGCUGUUUGUUUCCAUCCUGAACUUCCCAUAAUAAUUACAGGCUCUGAGGAUGGGACUGUUCGUAUAUGGCAUGCAACCACUUAUAGGCUUGAGAACACAUUGAAUUAUGGUCUUGAGCGAGUAUGGGCUAUUGGAUACAUGAAAAGUUCACGCCGGGUUGUGAUUGGUUAUGACGAAGGAACUAUUAUGAUAAAAAUUGGUCGAGAAGAGCCAGUCGCUAGUAUGGAUAGUAGCGGUAAAAUUAUAUGGGCUAAGCAUAAUGAAAUCCAGACUGUGAACAUUAGGAGUGUUGGGGCAGAUUUUGAGGUGACAGAUGGAGAACGAUUGCCAUUGGCUGUGAAGGAGUUGGGAACCUGUGAUCUUUACCCUCAGAGCUUAAAGCACAAUCCAAAUGGGAGGUUUGUUGUUGUUUGUGGGGAUGGCGAGUAUAUCAUUUAUACUGCUCUAGCCUGGAGAAAUAGAUCCUUUGGUUCAGCCCUGGAAUUUGUUUGGUCAUCAGAUGGGGAAUAUGCUGUUAGAGAGAGUACAUCGAAAAUUAAGAUUUUUAGUAAAACAUUCCAGGAAAAGAAGAGUAUUCGACCAACAUUUUCUGCUGAACGUAUUUUUGGAGGAACUUUACUAGCGAUGUGCUCAAAUGACUUUAUUUGCUUUUAUGAUUGGGCUGAAUGUAGGUUGCUUCGAAGAAUCGAUGUGAAUGUCAAAAAUCUAUAUUGGGCUGAUAGUGGAGAUCUAGUUGCAAUUGCCAGUGAUACUUCAUUUUACAUCCUUAAGUACAAUCGAGAUAUUGUGUCAUCUUAUUUAGAUGGUGGAAGAGCAGUAGAUGAGCAGGGUGUUGAGGAUGCUUUUGAGCUUCUCCAUGAAACAAAUGAGCGAGUCAGGACAGGAAUAUGGGUUGGGGACUGUUUCAUUUACAACAACUCUUCUUGGCGACUUAACUACUGUGUUGGUGGCGAGGUUACAACUAUGUUUCACUUAGAUCGGCCCAUGUACUUGUUGGGCUAUCUUGCUAGUCAAAGUCGGGUGUAUCUUAUAGACAAAGAAUUCAAUGUUAUGGGAUACACCUUGCUUCUUAGUAUGAUUGAGUAUAAGACUCUUGUGAUGCGUGGAGACCUGGAACGGGCAAAUGAGGUUCUACCCUCAAUUCCAAAGGAGCAUUAUAAUAGUGUGGCUCGUUUCUUGGAAUCGCGAGGUAUGCUAGAGGAGGCACUAGAAGUAGCUACAGAUCCUAAUUACAGAUUUGAUCUGGCCAUCCAACUUGGGAGACUAGAAGAUGCAAAGGUAAUCGCCACAGAAGUACAAAGUGAAUCGAAAUGGAAGCAGUUGGGAGAAUUAGCUAUGUCUACUGGAAAGUUAGAAAUGGCAGAACAAUGUUUACAACAUGCUAUGGACUUGAGUGGAUUGUUGCUUCUAUACUCUGCUCUUGGAGAUGCUGAAGGAAUAUCAAAACUUGCAUCUCUUGCUAAAGAGCAAGGAAAGAAUAAUGUUGCGUUUCUCUGCUUAUUUAUGCUAGGAAAAUUGGAAGAGUGCCUCCAACUAUUAGUAGAAAGCAACCGGAUACCUGAAGCUGCUUUGAUGGCCCGUUCCUAUCUACCAAGCAAGGUCUCAGAGAUAGUUGCAAUUUGGAGAAAUGAUCUCAAUAAGAUUAACCAAAAAGCCGCAGAGUCUUUGGCAGAUCCCGAAGAGUACCCUAAUCUUUUUGAGGACUGGCAGGUUGCUCUUGCCGUUGAAUCUAAGGUUGCAGAGGGAAGGGGCAUUUACCCUCCUGCUGAAGAAUACUUGAGAUAUGCCGAGAAAUCAAAUGCCAACCUUGUGGAAGCUUUCAAAAGCAUGCAAAUUGAUGGAGAGGAAGAGGCACCAUUGGAAAAUGGAGAUACUGAUACUGGUCAUGAGGAGGUGAUAGAAGAGAACGGAGAAGAGGAGGGCCAAGAAGAGGCUAUCGAAGUGGAUGCCGAUUCAACAGAUGGAGCUGUCCUUGUUAAUGGAAACGAGGCUGACGAAGAGUGGGGUACGAAUAAUGAAGGAACUCCGACAGCCUAAAAGCAAUUGGUUGGGCAAGUGUGAAAAUCCAAUUUUUGUUCCGUGCUUACGCCACGUCACUAGGUCCCAUGAAGACAUCCGGUUCCAGAUGUUAUACACCCUAUUUUGAAGUUUUACCAUCAGGAGAGACGCCAGAAAGAGAGAAUUCAGGGACCGGUUGUUUUUGGCGUAACCUGGGGUGGUGUGGUGUAUCGGAGCCCAUGGAAUUUUUUCAUCAUAGCCAAUACAGAUAUGGUUAUGUAAUCAGUUUCCCAACUCCAAUUGGUUUAGUGGCAUUUGUUCUUGGAAGCUUUCCUUAAUGUACCAUUGUGAGUUACAGUAGCAGAGUUGUGCUAGAGAUGAUUUGUUCAGGUUCAACCCUUCUUCCCCACAAUUUUUUUAAUAUUAUUUUUUUUGGGCUUC